CCUACGGGAGGCAGCAGUGGGGAAUAUUGGACAAUGGGGGCAACCCUGAUCCAGCCAUGCCGCGUGAGGGAUGAAGGCCUUCGGGUUGUAAACCUCUUUUAGCAGGGAAGAUGAUGACGGUACCUGCAGAAUAAGCCACGGCUAACUUCGUGCCAGCAGCCGCGGUAAUACGAAGGUGGCUAGCGUUGUUCAGAUUUACUGGGCGUAAAGGGAGCGUAGGCGGUAGAAUAAGUCAGAUGUGAAAGCCCAAGGCUUAACCUUGGAAUUGCAUUUGAAACUGUUUUGCUAGAGUGUGGGAGAGGAUAGCGGAAUUCCAAGUGUAGAGGUGAAAUUCGUAGAUAUUUGGAAGAACACCAGUGGCGAAGGCGGCUAUCUGGACCACAACUGACGCUGAGGCUCGAAAGCAUGGGGAUCAAACAGGAUUAGAUACCCUGGUAGUCCAUGCCUUAAACGAUGAGUGCUAGAUGUUGCGGGUUUACCCUGCAGUAUCGCCGCUAACGCAUUAAGCACUCCGCCUGGGGGAGGUACGGUCGCGAGAUAAACUACAANAGAGUAGACGCGNGAGACGUGCCGAGGACGACGACGAGGGAGGUAGG
rnacentral:rRNA from 1 species